AACGAACGCUGGCGGCAGGCUUAACACAUGCAAGUCGAGCGCCCCGCAAGGGGAGCGGCAGACGGGUGAGUAACGCGUGGGAAUCUACCCAUCUCUACGGAAUAACGCAUGGAAACGUGUGCUAAUACCGUAUACGUCCUUCGGGAGAAAGAUUUAUCGGAGAUGGAUGAGCCCGCGUUGGAUUAGCUAGUUGGUGGGGUAAAGGCCUACCAAGGCAACGAUCCAUAGCUGGUCUGAGAGGAUGACCAGCCACACUGGGACUGAGACACGGCCCAGACUCCUACGGGAGGCAGCAGUGGGGAAUAUUGGACAAUGGGCGCAAGCCUGAUCCAGCCAUGCCGCGUGAGUGAUGAAGGCCCUAGGGUUGUAAAGCUCUUUCACCGGUGAAGAUAAUGACGGUAACCGGAGAAGAAGCCCCGGCUAACUUCGUGCCAGCAGCCGCGGUAACAC
rnacentral:rRNA from 1 species